AAAUAGAGUCCUCCCCUCUUAAAAACGCCCCCCACCCAAACCACGCCUCCAUCCCACCCCUGACCACGCCCCCCACCUCCCAAAAUCGGAGGUCUCAAGGUUGGCAAGUAUGGACAGAGGACACCCUUUAUGUCGACGGCCCUGGGACUGGCUGAUUGACUUCGACAUGAAGGGGUUCCUCUGUUUGUAUUUAUUUUUAGUGCAAAAUAAAAUGAACAAUAAAGGCGGUGGCGCCAACAGGACUCAAAUCCACAUUCAUCUGUUUAGCCUAAGCAGAGAGAGCCAGACUUCCAUUUCCUGGAUUCUUCAGCCAGCUCUACCCAAAAGAUCCCGAGAUGUUUCUUGGCCAGUUGAGAGACUUAGUUCCUUUAAAAGUCUACUGAAACCCACUACUACCGACCACGCAGUCUGAUAGUUUAUAUAUCAAUGAUGAAAUAUUAACAUUGCAACACAUGCCAAUACGGCCUUUUUAGUUUAUUAAAUUGCAAUUUUAAAUUUCCCGCGAUGUGUCGUGUUGAAGACGUUGCGGUAUGAUGACGCGUGCGUUUGACGUCUCGGGUUGUAGCGGACAUUAUUUUCCAGACCGAUCAAUUACAAAGUAUUCUGGACAUCUGUGUUGCUGAAUCUUUUGCAAUUUGUUCAAUUAAUAAUGGAGAAGUCAAAGUAGAAAGAUGGAGGUGGGAAGCUUUUAGCCUUUAGCCACACAAACACAGUUUAAAAUUCCCGGAGGUGAGGCUUUACUAUGGAUCAGAGCGGUCAAGCGAACAUGGAUCCCGACUACAUGUCUACCGGCAGUUAUCGGUGAGAAAAUUGUGGUAUAAAGUCGCCUCUUACCGGUGAUCAGCGGAGCUUGUGACGUCCAUGCAGCUGCGUGACCACAACCCUCCGACUUCAGGUUUUAUUUAAUCUCUCUAAAACACUAGCAACACAAUAGCAGAUAAGGGAUUUUCCAGAAUUAUCCUAGUAAAUAUGUCUAAAAACAUCUGAAUCGCUGUCACUUGCCCUCGCCUGUUUUUUGUUUUUUUUCUAGUCCUUCACUAUCAAUAUCCUCAUCCACAAAUCUUUCAUCCUCGCCCAAAUUAAUGGGGAAAUUGUCGCUUUCUCCGUCCGAAUUGCUCUUACUGCUGGUGGCUUACAUUAUAAACAAUGUGAGGAUGUGAGGAGCCUUACAACCAGUGACAUCACGCGCACAUCGUCUGCGACUUUCGGUAAAGGCAAGGCUUUUUUUAUUAGCGACCAAAAGUUGCGAACUUUAUUGUCGAUGUUCUCUACUAAAUCCUUUCAGCAAAAAUAUGGCAAUAUCGCGAAAUGAUCAAGUAUGACACAUAGAAUGGACCUGCUAUCCCCGUUUAAAUAAGAACAUCUCAUUUCAGUAGGCCUUUAAUGUGUCCUGUUUUCCACCCGAGGCUUAGGAUCUCAUCUCUGCUAGUUGCAGAUGAUUUUGUUCUGAUGGCCUCAUCAAGUUGUGACCUCCAGCGUUUACUGAGGAUGUGAACCGUGACAAAGAUUGAAGCUUCUGGACUGUUUUGAGACCACAGACUGGGACAUGCUCUGUCAGCCUCAGAUCUGGUGAUCGGGACGAGUUGAGUAGGAUACAGUGGCAGCUUAAAGUUCAGCUGCGGGAGGGAAAAGAUGCCUACAGGAGGAAGCUGGAGGCCAAAGUCCAAGGAGCUGAUUAUCGACUUCAGGAAGAAAAGGACCCCAGUGAAGCCCAUAAACAUUAAGGGCCGGGAGGUGGCAGUAGUGGACCAUUAUAAAUACCUGGAAGUCCACUCGAACAGCAGACCGGGAAGGAAGGACAACAGCAAAACUGCAUACAAGAAGGGCAUGAGCAGACUUUUUUUCCUGAGGAAGCUCGGGUCCUUUAAUGUGUGCAGCAAGCUGUUGGAGAUCAAUAAAUCAAUGAUUAUUUAUAUAGCCCUAAAUCACUAGUGUCUCAAAGGGCUGCACAAACCACAACACAAACCACAACGACAUCCUCAAUAGAGCAUUCUCUUGAUGAGUUUCAAGCACACCUGUGAAGUGAAACCCAUUUCAGGUGACUACCUCUUGAAGCUCAUUGAGAGAAUGCCAACAGUGUGCAAAGCAGUAAUCAGAGCAAAGGGUGGCUAUUUUGAAGGAAGUAGAAUAUAAAUAUGUUUUCAGUUAUUUCACUUUUUUUUGUUAAGUACAUAACUCUACGUGUUUAUUCAUAGUUUUGAUGCCUUCAGUGACAACCUACAAUGUAAAUAGUUAUAAAAAUAAAAAAAAUACAUUGAAUGAAGAGGUUUGUCCAAACUUGUGGCUUUUACUUUAUAUAUAUAGUACACAUGUUAUCUUGUUAUGUAUUGUGGUACAUUUUUGGUCUAAUUUUUACCCAUUGUUUUCACCCACUUGUGUGCAUUAUCCUUUUCCAUCCUCUAUAACUGAGCUACUGUGUAUAACAACUUCCCUUGUGGAUCAGUAAAGUGUGUCUAAGUCUAA